GGAUUAGUGGCGAACGGGUGAGUAACACGUGAGCAACCUGCCCCUGACUCUGGGAUAAGCGCUGGAAACGGCGUCUAAUACUGGAUAUGUCCCGUCACCGCAGGGUGUGCGGGUGGAAAGAUUUUUCGGUUGGGGAUGGGCUCGCGGCCUAUCAGCUUGUUGGUGAGGUAAUGGCUCACCAAGGCGUCGACGGGUAGCCGGCCUGAGAGGGUGACCGGCCACACUGGGACUGAGACACGGCCCAGACUCCUACGGGAGGCAGCAGUGGGGAAUAUUGCACAAUGGGCGAAAGCCUGAUGCAGCAACGCCGCGUGAGGGAUGACGGCCUUCGGGUUGUAAACCUCUUUUAGCAGGGAAGAAGCGAGAGUGACGGUACCUGCAGAAAAAGCACCGGCUAACUACGUGCCAGCAGCCGCGGUAAUACGUAGGGUGCAAGCGUUAUCCGGAAUUAUUGGGCGUAAAGAGCUCGUAGGCGGUCUGUCGCGUCUGCUGUGAAAUCCCGAGGCUCAACCUCGGGCUUGCAGUGGGUACGGGCAGACUAGAGUGCGGUAGGGGAGAUUGGAAUUCCUGGUGUAGCGGUGGAAUGCGCAGAUAUCAGGAGGAACACCGAUGGCGAAGGCAGAUCUCUGGGCCGUAACUGACGCUGAGGAGCGAAAGGGUGGGGAGCAAACAGGCUUAGAUACCCUGGUAGUCCACCCCGUAAACGUUGGGAACUAGUUGUGGGGUCCUUUCCACGGAUUCCGUGACGCAGCUAACGCAUUAAGUUCCCCGCCUGGGGAGUACGGCCGCAAGGCUAAAACUCAAAGGAAUUGACGGGGACCCGCACAAGCGGCGGAGCAUGCGGAUUAAUUCGAUGCAACGCGAAGAACCUUACCAAGGCUUGACAUACACGAGAACGGGCCAGAAAUGGUCAACUCUUUGGACACUCGUGAACAGGUGGUGCAUGGUUGUCGUCAGCUCGUGUCGUGAGAUGUUGGGUUAAGUCCCGCAACGAGCGCACCCCUCGUUCUAUGUUGCCAGCACGUAAUGGUGGGGAACUCAUGGG
rnacentral:rRNA from 1 species